GAUGAACGCUGGCGGCGUGCCUAAUACAUGCAAGUCGAGCGAACAGACGAGGAGCUUGCUCCUCUGACGUUAGCGGCGGCCGGGCGAGUAACACGUGGAUACCUUACUUAUAAGACUGGGAUAACUUCGGGAAACCGGAGCUAAUACCGGAUAAUAUAUUGAACCGCAUGGUUCAAUAGUGAAAGAUGGUUCUGUUGUCACUUAUAGAUGGAUCCGCGCCGCAUUAGCUAGUUGGUAAGGUAACGGCUUACCAAGGCAACGAUGCGUAGCCUACCUAAGAGGGUGAUCGGCGACGCUAGAACUGAGACACGGUCCAGACUCCUACGGAAGGCAGCAGUAGAGAAUCUUCCGCAAUAGGCGAAAGCCUGACGGAGCAACGCGGCGUGAGUGAUGAAGGUCUUCGGAUCGUAAAACUCUGUUAUUAGGGAAGAACAAAUGUGUAAGUAACUAUGCACGUCUUGACGGUACCUAAUCAGAAAGCCACGGCUAACUACGUG
rnacentral:rRNA from 1 species